GUAUCAAUUUAUACCAUUACUGAAGGUGUUAACUUUGGUUGCUUGAUUAAGCAAUGAAAGAGAGUGCCUCACAGCCUUGCCAGCAGAAUGUGUUGCCAAGAUUUUUAAUUUUUUGCCAAUCCAAUAGAAGAGAAAUGGUGUCUCAGGACAUAUUGAAUUGAAUGCUAACAAUACUGACAUUGACAACAUGACCUGUAGCUAUUGGUGGAGAGAGCAUGGUGCCUGGCACAUAGGAGGCAAACCACGGAUGCUGACUCGUACUGCACGUGUGAUGUUCCUAUUGACAGAGGAUGGCUGAGAACUGCAAAGGGUUGCUGCAUGGAGGCAUUCGGGCCCUGGUGAGAGUUGGAGUGGAUGCUCCCUCGAGCUCCCUUCUAUAAACGAAAACCAACUAUUCAUUGAUCAUCUGGGUCCAAAAAGAAAGAGUCAACGCUCAUUAACAUUUGUUUCUUUCCUUCCAGAAAACACUAUGAUUCCAGGUUCGGGUAGUUCUUAUUAUAACUUCUAGAAUUGGAGGCCAGGAGAGCUGAGGCUAGUGUACUUGAUGUUAACUGAAGAUGCGUGAAGAGGAGAAAGUCAACUCGACAUCAGCCUCUUUCUAAUGCUUGCUGAUGUAUAAAACAUCCCAGCCACCGGAGCCUGAAGGCUGGAAGUAAACUGCAUUGCCCCAAAGAACAACGUAAGUCUCUGUGUUCUCCACGCUUGAGAACUGUUUUCACAGAAACAUCACACACCAAAUAGUAGAGUGUUUUACUCUCCUUUCCCAGCACCAUGACAUCAGGGAGAGGCCGAGUUUAACCUGCCCACGGUAGAGAGGUUUGCUGGUGACGAUGAAUGGAGAUGUGGCUGGAUCUAUGUUUCCCGGGUGUUCACCGCGCUAUGCUGUGUCUUCA
rnacentral:lncRNA from 1 species